AUGCCCCAGAAACUGCAACCUGGUGAUGACUAUCUUCAGAUAGACUUCAUGGAACAACAGGGUCAUGAGUACACAAAGGACUAUAGAGAGUUUGCGCUCACGCUCCAUCUACAUGGUCCAAAGGCAUACAAAUACUUCAGAGAGACUCAACAUUUUCCCCUCCCACAUCCACAUACAUUACAAAGGUGGCUGCGUUCGGUUGAGGAGACACAGUUUGGCAUCGUCAACCAUCAUUCCAACUUGUUGUCACUGGUUGUGUUUCUUAAGACAAGGUUGCACCAUAUUGCCAAACUCACCUCUCUUGACCUGCAGAAAGGGAGCAAGAAGAAAGAAGCUCUGCAAAACAGUCCUCUUUCAGGAGUUUAAGCUCAUGUAAAACUCUAAUGAGCAACUUUGUACAUGUGUAAAUAUGUACAUGUGUAAAUAUGGUUUGGGGCGGGGAUGUGUCAUGUUCUUGUGUUAACUUGAGAAUUUACAUUUACAUUACAUUUUAUUCUCUCUCUGCUUUGUUAUACAAGUCUGAAAAGCAAGAUGAGAACGUGUAGAGGCAUUUCCACUUCCUUCCCCUCCCCAUGUGUUAUCCAGGUUUUGUUGUUUUUGUUGUUUUGUUUUUGUUCUAGUCACUCAUGGUUGUCACUCUUUUGUAUUCUGUUGUGAAACUUUUUGGUUUGCUAUGCUAUAUUUGCUGUUAAUGCUGUUUUGAUGUGAAUGCGCAUCUGUCUGGUAUAGAGCAGCCUCUGAUCUCUCUCUCUCUCUCUCUCUCUCUCUCUCUCUCUCUCUCUCUCUGACCUGAUAUGAAUUAUAUUGAUACUCUGAUUUCUAUAUAUUUUCAUUUUCUCUCAUAUAUAACUUUUAUUGAUAUAUAUAUAUAAAUAACUGAUAUUGAUACUCUAUGAUUUCUAUUGUUGUGUUUAUAUUUAUAGUGUUCAAAUAUAUAUAGUGCAAAAUACCUAUCAUAAUACCUAUCAUACAUCGCAUAUAUCAUAUAUCAGAAUAUUCUAUUACUGUUAAUCCCACUAUAUCCCACUACUCUUUCAACAGCUGCAGCAAACUGCUGUGGACAUUGCUGCUUUAGUCCGGUCACCAAUUUAUGCAUUGCACGGUGUUGCUGUGCAUGCAAUACAAUGUAAAGUUUUGUUUUCGAGCUGGUUUGCUAAAUAGGCUAAUGUAGCUAACAAUAACACUAGCCUGCCACUGCCCCUGGUGGCUCGAGAAAAACGCCACAGCACUUGUUGAAAUUGAAAUAGGCGAAAAUGGCAAAAUAUUACUGAAAUGUAAGACUUGCAAUAACGGAAUUACUUGAAAUGUUAGUGUUUCUGUAGAAAAACAUAUUAUUAUUUCACAUUGAGCUUGUUUAGAUGAGCCCCAAACAAUAACAAGACAGCUGCUGCACUUCUUUCCGACUCGUAAUGCCCAAAGACAACUGGAACGCUGUAAGUGGUACAAGCCAGGCAAUGACGUCACGUUCUCGCGGCAGAACAGCUCCAAGUUCACGAGACAAAUGGAUAGCACCAUAAUUUCUGCUAAUGUCAUUUAUCCACUGUUUAAUAACACAAUGCCUGGUACAGUCCUAUAUAUUUAUCUAUAUUUAUCCUCUAUACAGUUCUCUACAUUUAUCUUAUUUGAUUUUAUUUUCCGUGAAUUUUAUUUUACUUUUAUUCUUAGCUCUACUUUCUAUAUUUAGCUAAGAGUUUAUUGUUUACUGUUCAUUGUUUACUUUCUAUAUUUAGCCAAGAGUUUAUUGUUUACUGUUUAUUGUUUACUUUCUAUAUUUAGCUAAGAGUUUAUGGUCUAUCUUAUACUGUAUUUUUUCUAUACCGCUUUUAUUUUCUAGUGUUUUGUAAGCUGCUGGAAAUCCAAUUUCCUUGAGGGAGUCAUCCUAAAGGGAUCAAUAAAAGAAGUCUAAGUCUAAGUCUUGGUCUAUGAAUAUUAAAAUACGCCGAACCAUGUGUCCUGUAUCAUAGCUACAUGUAUGACGUUUGCAUAAAAAAAACGCAUGAAAAUCAGUUUAGAAUUUAGUUACGAUUGAUUAAAUGCGCUGACACUUCAUUGCGCCUGCCAAACAGAUUACACUGAGUGGAGUGGGUGACCGGUCCAUAGUGAUGGGAAUUCCGGCUCUUUUUAGAGAACUGGCUCCUUUGGCUCGGCUCACUAAAAAGAGCCGGCUCUUUCGGCUCCCAAGUGGCUCCUCAUAUUUCUUUUUGCUUAAUUUAUUACCAAAUUAUGUGUAAAAUGAAUAUCUAAUGUAAAUACAUGCGUUAUAUCAAAUGUUUAGUAUUUAUAUGGAUUUAUUAAUACACUCAAGAUGGAACAGUGCUACAAAAGAAAAUUAUAAAACACAAGAACAAAGACUUAAUUUAAUUUAAUUCUUAAUUAUACAAAAAGCUGCUUGAUAUGAAAUGUUUAACUUUGCACAGUCUACACUCUGCCUUUGAACUAUCACAUUAAAAUCUGUCCAAACUUUACUAGGUUUCUCAUUUUCCUCACCCUUUCCAGUGUGUAGUCUCUGUCUAUGUAGCACCAAGGUCUCGUGCUCUCACGUCUCCCUCCCACCUGUUCACGUGCUCACUGUGCCCUGUGUGUCUGUAACCCCUCCCUCCCCCUCCUGCUCAGUGUAGAUACACAGAUGCCGCCACACAUCUUGACCAAUCACUCGGCUUUAACAGGAAAAAACGGGAAAAUCUGGAAAAAAAAUCCGGAUCUGGCUCCCAAUCAAGAGCCGGCUCCCGUCAUUCACUUCAAAGAGCCGGCUCUUAGAGCCGGAUCGUUCGCGACCGACCCAUCACUACCGGUCCAAGAUGGCGGUCAUCUUUGGCUUUGGCGCGUGCGAGUUUGGAGUAAUCGGGGUUUGAUUAUUUUCCCCUGUGACCUGCCUGUGACGUCAUUUCAACACUUUUCUACUCGUACCCACAAACUUGAAUUCGUGUUCACAGUGAAGACUUCGUAGUCGUAGAAAUUACUUUGCACUCACAGCUUUUAGAUUCAUACUCAUUAAAACAAUCCUAACCCAAACAAUUUCUCAGACUCGCGUAUAUGACAGCAGAAUUUUGUGUACAACAAUUUUAUUGACAUACGUCAACAUUGUUUAACAUUACGAAUACGAAUCGUUAGAAUCGUGAACACAUCUUUUUGAUAGCUAUCUUACUCCAUACAUGUGGCCAUGUCUCCUCUGGAUCGCGUCCUCUUUGUCUGUGAGGCCCAGAGUUAGGGCACUCACGCCACAUAUGGCCCUGGUUGUUACACUUGAAACACCUAUGGGGUUUGAUCGUCCCUCUCCUCCUCCCCAUCCCAGGAUCUCUGUUGUAGUGGGGUUGCCAUUGCUGUCCUGGGUUUGGUGCACCACUCCGCUGAUAGUACAACAACUGAGCAGAUUGAAGCUUCUUUGUCUGUCGAGACUCCACAUCUACCUUGUUCCUUUCAGCAUGUAAGACAUGUGUCCACACCAUCGCUAUAGGGCCAGUUUCCCAGCCGACACAUGUAGCCAUCACACUGUUCUUUAGACUUGGGUGGAGGCCAUUCACCAAUGCAGUUUUUAACAAGUCACUGUAAACCUCAUUAUCUGGAUCAAUUCCUGAGUGACCUGCAAAAACAAUUUCCAUACGUGUACUAUAAUCAGCAGCUAACUCACCCUCUCUCUGCUUGUUGUUGUGGCUCUCAGCCCAACACACUCUUAGGGGAAGGCAGCCCGUACUGCGUCAUACAGGUUUAUGAUCAUAUGCCCGUACUCCCUUGUUUCAAUCUGUGACGAAGUGGCCCAGGUGGAUGGUUGGAUAAUGCCCACGGCAGUUUGAGACACCUACGACAGACAGCUUCCACCUCCUGCAGAGUUGGGUUAUACAUAGAUAACAGUUGUUGCAUUGCUGUGACCCAAUUCUCACCUCUAGUCUUUUGGGGGUCGGGUAAGUCCCCUGCAAUCUCUUUCAGCUCAUCUGGCUGCCAUGGCCUGUAGACAAUUAGUCUGGAUCCCACGUGUGCUUCGUCCCUGGGGGUUGGCAAAUCUCAUCAUGGGCAUUUGGUGCACACCCCCUCUGUCUCCUUGACUUUGGAGCCAGUAAUCAUAAGUGACUGCUAGGGGGGAACAAAGCUCCCUGGGGGAUUCAGAGUUAGUAUGUUUAUGUCCAACUUGGCCUUUUCCAGUCACUGGUGUCUGGGCCAAAGAGAGGGUAGAGAAGUCAGGGUAUAAUGGCUUCUUUUCCUCUUCACCAUCAGACUCUGCCUGUAUAACUGUGGGGGUGGUCUCCCCUUUAUGCGGAGACGAUGGUGUCAAAGCAGGAUUGACAGAUGAUGUGGAGACAGCAUAUGGAGGAGGUAGAGCCUUCUCUCUAGCCCUACGUAUCUUUUUUACAUUUUCUCUCUCCCCUAUACCUUCUUCCUCUAUUUCUUGUUUCGCCAUUAACCCCAUCCCUGAUUUUGCUUUCUUCACUUCUGCUUCUCUCUCCCAUUUCUGGAAAACCUGCCAGUUUAUCUUAUCUUUCCCUAUCUUUCUCCUGUGCUAAGUGUACCUACAAUAGGAGACACAUUUUGAGUCACAUGGUGCCACAGUGGAACAUCCCCCACCACACUUUUACACCCAUCGUCUGCCAUUAACUUAGCAGGACCUGUAAGUGGAUCAGGCAAAGACAUUAACUUCCCCUGUUUAUUCCCCAUGUUUCCACAGAUUCACUUAAACUGGUUUGCUUUGAACUUCUAAUGGGCUUAUCAGUCACACUUUAUUCUCGUUCACACUGAUCAUUCCACACCAAAGUAUGGUCGGAUCUUAUCAGUCACAUACAAAACCUUCGAGCAAUUCAGAUCAGCCUGGUGGUUUGUAUGACGCAUACGUUCCGAGCAACGUACCCUGGGAGUAUACACAAUGUAAACCAGACACUGACUGAAUCACCACAAAGUUUAUAGUUUUUACUUUCCUUCACACAUUACUGUUGUUGGUGGGACCUUUUUCCUUUACCUCAAAUCCUCACUUAAGGUCCACCUUACUGUGGUUUACUGUCCACCAAGCAUUACAGUACUUUUCUUAGUUACUUGUCUUUUACUUAAUCCACAUUUCAGAUUAUCCUCUUUAUUUGUAUUUUCCUAUUUUAGUCAUUUUAGUUGUCUUUUCUAUUCUAUUUAUUUUU
rnacentral:lncRNA from 15 species